UUUGAAAAACGACUCAUUCUUUGCUUUUCAAAAUUUGCUAUAGAAUGAGGCAAUUAGUUUAGAACAUCACAUGCCUGCCAAUAUGACAUUUUUGUUAGAAUAAACUUAGUCACGAUAUUAUUAUACAUAAUCAAAAUAAACUUUAAUGUAUUAGACAUCAUUAAUGCUACAAUGAUCAACCGGACUUGUUUGUGGAUUACUUGAUUAAGGUAUGGAGCCUUACUUAUCUCUACUUUUUCUUUUUUUCUUUUUUUUGGUUUUUCGAAUGUCUAUAAAAUACAAUGAUACCAUAGUAGAAGAUAGUUUAUGCAAUUAUGCUCCUCCCAUUAUAUUAAGGGAAAAAUUGCACUUAAAAGAGAAAGAACGCUUUUCAUGUGAGUUUACCAUCCAGUUAAGAAACAAGGUUGGGUUCUCCUGUCUCUUUAUUUGCCAUUCGCAAGUUUUAAUUGCAUUCAGAUCAAUAAAGAAUCAUGACACAAAAACCUUUUUUUUUUUAAAAAAAAAGAAGCUAUAAUUGAAAUUAUUAAUUAAAUGUUGAUUUUUUUUACACCAUGUAUUUAUGUAAAAGACACUUAUGCUGUGUUUAUUUUCUGGAGUGGGAGUGAGGAGUACGGAUUCCUCCCACUCCAGUGUUUACUUCACUAAAUUUGGGAGGAAUUGGGAAUCCCGCUCCGUGGGUCUCACCUAUUUUUAGCGUGGGGAGUGGGAGUGGAAAUAAAAUAAAAUAAAUAAUAUUAUAUUUAUUUGAAUAAUA
rnacentral:lncRNA from 1 species